CCUACGGGAGGCAGCAGUGAGGAAUAUUGGUCAAUGGACGAGAGUCUGAACCAGCCAAGUAGCGUGAAGGAUGACUGCCCUAUGGGUUGUAAACUUCUUUUAUAUGGGAAUAAAAUGUUCCACGUGUGGGAUUUUGUAUGUACCAUAUGAAUAAGGAUCGGCUAACUCCGUGCCAGCAGCCGCGGUAAUACGGAGGAUCCGAGCGUUAUCCGGAUUUAUUGGGUUUAAAGGGAGCGUAGGCGGGUUGUUAAGUCAGUUGUGAAAGUUUGCGGCUCAACCGUAAAAUUGCAGUUGAAACUGGCAGUCUUGAGUACAGGAGAGGUAGGCGGAAUUCGUGGUGUAGCGGUGAAAUGCUUAGAUAUCACGAAGAACUCCGAUUGCGAAGGCAGUUCACUGGACUGCAACUGACGCUGAGGCUCGAAAGUGUGGGUAUCAAACAGGAUUAGAUACCCGGGUAGUC
rnacentral:rRNA from 1 species